rnacentral:lncRNA from 1 species
GAACAUCAUUGACCUUUAAUUUUCCACUGAAAUUAAUUUGGUUUACAACCUAUUGUUAACUUGUGAGUGGUUCUUUCAGCCAUCUAGUAACAUGAGCUUGUCCAGCAGCAUAAAACAUACAUAACCUUAGUUUCAAAGCUCAUUUUAUCUACUCCAAAUGAAAGCUUCACUGCAGUGUUCACUGUAAAAUAUUUAUUGUGAAAUGGAUAACUGGAGCCUAAACGAGAACUUGAGUAUAUUGCUCCAGGUGCUUCAUAUGGCUGGAAAGCUGGACUUCAUCAUUGUUCUCUUCAGGCCCUGAAAGAAAUAUGUUUCCUUGGCUGGAGUAGGAGGAAGAGGAGUAAUGAAUGAUGCACCUGAAGCAUUAGCAAUAUGUGUAUGUGUGUAUAUAUAUACAUAUCUAUGUACAGGAGAGAUGAGACAAGAGGAGACCUUUAGCCAAUCAAUCCCCUUAGCAAUACACUUGAACAGUUAAAUGUGGGAGGAGAGUAAAGAUUUCAAAGAAAUCUCUUCAGUGAGGACAGUAUGAAGAAGACUGGACUGUCUGGAAGUUCACCACCACUAUCGUGCUCACCCUGUGUUAGUGAUAUGGGAGGUUGUUUGGAAAUGGGCUGGUGAUCUUUCCACUGUUGUCUUGGCUGGAGAAGUAAACUUCACAGAUGUUCUUUCCCAUCCCAUUUUUGGCCCAUGAGCAUGCUGCGGAGCAUUAACCUCUUGGGUUACUGCAUGCUUUCAGUUCUCCCUUACAGGAGAGCUAUUUCUUAACAUAGCUGGGCGCAAAGCAGUAGGGUUUUUUAUGUUCUCUUCCAAAGCACAAACCUUGGCCUGAGUUUUGCACUAACUGAGCUCUCUGUAAGCAUUUUCCAGCAAUUAAAUCUAGCUGGUUGCUUUUGGCUAGUUCCCUUGUCCCCGUAGCACUCGGUGUGAAUAAGAAACCAUGCUUGCCUCCUGCUCUGCAGCCACAGGGCUAGCAGUGCUAACCAGAAGAUGAAGCAACUGGAAAAUUACCACCCCACCCCCAGCA